rnacentral:rRNA from 1 species
CAACUUUCAGCAGUGGAUGUCUAGGCUC